UCCGGCUUAUCACCGGCGGUUUCCUUAGAGUGCCCAACUGAAUGAUGGCAACUAAGGACGAGGGUUGCGCUCGUUGCGGGACUUAACCCAACAUCUCACGACACGAGCUGACGACAGCCAUGCAGCAUCUGUGAUACCGUCCCUCGCGGGAGGCCCACCUUUCAGUGGGUUGCGAUACCAUGUCAAGCCCUGGUAAGGUUCUUCGCGUCGCAUCGAAUUAAACCACACGCUCCGCUGCUUGUGCGGGUCCCCGUCAAUUCCUUUGAGUUUUAGUCUUGCGACCGUACUCCCCAGGCGGGCCACUUAAUGCGUUAGCUGCGGCACAGGGGGGGUUAACACCCCCCACACCUAGUGGCCAUCGUUUACUGCUAGGACUA
rnacentral:misc_RNA from 1 species